AUGGGAACGCGAAGAACCUUACCUAGACUUGACAUCUCCUGAAUAGUGUAGAGAUACAUGAAGCCCUUCGGGGCAGGAAGACAGGUGGUGCAUGGUUGUCGUCAGCUCGUGUCGUGAGAUGUCGGGUUAAGUCCCGCAACGAGCGCAACCCCUAUUAUUAGUUGCUAACAUUAAGUUGAGCACUCUAGUGAGACUGCCCGGGUUAACCGGGAGGAAGGUGGGGAUGACGUCAAAUCAUCAUGCCCCUUAUGUCUAGGGCUACACACGUGCUACAAUGGUGGGAACAAAGAGAUGCAAUACCGCGAGGUGGAGCUAAACUCAAAACCCCAUCCCAGUUCGGAUUGUAGGCUGAAACUCGCCUACAUGAAGCUGGAGUUGCUAGUAAUCGCGAAUCAGAAUGUCGCGGUGAAUACGUUCCCGGGUCUUGUACACACCG
rnacentral:rRNA from 1 species